CCUACGGGAGGCAGCCGUGAGGAAUAUUGGUCAAUGGCCGAGAGGCUGAACCAGCCAAGUCGCGUGAGGGAAGACGGCCCUACGGGUUGUAAACCUCUUUUGUCGGGGCGCAAAGAGAGUCACGUGUGACUCAUUGAGAGUACCCGAAGAAAAAGCAUCGGCUAACUCCGUGCCAGCAGCCGCGGUAAUACGGAGGAUGCGAGCGUUAUCCGGAUUUAUUGGGUUUAAAGGGUGCGCAGGCGGAGGUGCAAGUCAGCGGUCAAAUUGCGGGGCUCAACCCCGUACUGCCGUUGAAACUGCAGCCCUUGAGUGCGCGAGAAGUAUGCGGAAUGCGUGGUGUAGCGGUGAAAUGCAUAGAUAUCACGCAGAACUCCGAUUGCGAAGGCAGCAUACCGGCGCGCAACUGACGCUCAUGCACGAAAGCGUGGGUAUCGAACAGGAUUAGAUACCCCAGUAGUC
rnacentral:rRNA from 1 species